CAGAGUGUAAAAACUCCCUUAAACCCACUGUUUAUUUAUCUUACAACGUCUCCUUUGGUGGGCAAUCCCAGGGCGGGAUUGAUGCUUUUAUAGCGCCCACCAAAGAAGACUACCAAAACUCUUGUUUUCAAUGAAACUCUGAGAAUAAAACAAAUAAUUA
rnacentral:misc_RNA from 1 species